rnacentral:rRNA from 1 species
CCCUUAGAUGUUCUGGGCCGCACGCGCGCUACAAUGAUGCAGGCAACGAGUGCCGCUCCUUAGCCGAAAGGCUUGGGGAAUCUUGAAAACUGCAUCGUGCUAGGGAUAGAUGAUUGCAAUCGUGCAUCUUGAACGAGGAAUGCCUUGUAGGCGUGAGUCAUCAACUCGCGCUGAAUACGUCCCUGCCCUUUGUACACACCGCCCGUCGCUCCUACCGAUUGGAUGGUCCGGUGAACUGGUCGGACUGCUGUUUGAAAUUGCGGGUGCAGUUGAUUCACGGGAAGUCUAGUAAACCUUAUCAUCUAGAGGAAGGAGAAGUCGUAACA